GAGAGGGGCUCGCAGCAACAAAGACUGCUAAUCUUUGCCGUUCAGGUUGGAUUCCUGGACUCACUCG
rnacentral:tRNA from 1 species